rnacentral:rRNA from 1 species
UACGGGGGGAGCAAGCGUUGUUCGGAUUUACUGGGCGUAAAGGGCGCGUAGGCGGCCAGCGCAAGUCAGUUGUGAAAUCUCCGGGCUUAACUCGGAACGGUCAACUGAUACUGCGCGGCUAGAGUGCAGAAGGGGCAACUGGAAUUCUCGGUGUAGCGGUGAAAUGCGUAGAUAUCGAGAGGAACACCUGCGGCGAAGGCGGGUGCUGGCUGACACUGACGCUGAUGCGCGAAAGCGUGGGGAGCGAACAGG